rnacentral:rRNA from 1 species
GACGAACGCUGGCGGCGUGCUUAACACAUGCAAGUCGAACGAGAAGAGAUGAGAAGCUUGCUUCUUAUCGAUUCGAGUGGCAAACGGGUGAGUAACGCGUAAGCAACCUGCCCUCUAGAUGGGGACAACAGCUGGAAACGGCUGCUAAUACCGAAUACGUUCUUUCUGUCGCAUGGCAGAAGGAAGAAAGGGAGGCUCUUCAGAGCUUUCGCUGGAGGAGGGGCUUGCGUCUGAUUAGCUAGUUGGAGGGGUAACGGCCCACCAAGGCGACGAUCAGUAGCCGGUCUGAGAGGAUGAACGGCCACAUUGGGACUGAGACACGGCCCAGACUCCUACGGGAGGCAGCAGUGGGAAUCUUCCGCAAUGGACGAAAGUCUGACGGAGCAACGCCGCGUGAACGAUGACGGCC